rnacentral:rRNA from 1 species
CCCUUAGAUGUUCUGGGCCGCACGCGCGCUACACUGACGAAUGCAACGAGCUUAUAACCUUGGCCGAAAGGUCUGGGUAAUCUCCAAAUUUCGUCGUGAUGGGGAUAGAUUAUUGCAAUUAUUAAUCUUCAACGAGGAAUGCCUAGUAAGCGCAAGUCAUCAGCUUGCGUUGAUUACGUCCCUGCCCUUUGUACACACCGCCCGUCGCUCCUACCGAUUGAAUGGUCCGGUGAAGCGUUCGGACCGUCGCCUUUGGACGGUUCGCCGUCUGUUGGCUGCGGGAAGUUCGUUAAACCUUAUCAUUUAGAGGAAGGAGAAGUCGUAACA